ACAUGUUGAGGUAUUUGUGGAUGGCUGGACGUGAAAGUAAUCAGCUGUGCUAAAUUCACUGAGAACCCUUGAGUGCUGCCAAUUUAAACUUUAGGCUGAACAGACAGUUGAUAGAAGUAAUUCAGCCAAAAAAAUUCUGUGGAAAUAUUGUUCAGACUGUAGUUCUCUUCAUUUGUGAAGUAUUGACCUCCUUUGUUUCUGAUGCCAGAGAGAACCACUAAACCUAUCUUUCCUUCAAAAUGCAGGAAGAAUGAAGGUAAUUAAGAACUGUGAAAUUCAUUUGGAUUUCUUAAGUCUUUCUUCAAUAAGAUAACUAUCAUGCUACUCCUCUUGCUGGCAUGUUUGUUGUAAAAGAAGAUUUUAAGGUUCUCUUCACAAGUGCCAGAGGAAAAGUGGAGCAUGCACCUUACAUGCAGUCCCAGAGAGCCCUCCACGCAGCUCCUUCUGCUGAUGGGAAUCUGGCAUAUGCUCCUCCUGCACCUGCUGCUUUGCUGUUGCUCAGGGACAUAUUGUUGCUCUCACAUCAUCUGCUUCUGAUCAGCUUUCAACAUCUGCCAAAAACCCAAGGACACAUGCAAGAUUCUCUGUAGUGGAGUGGAAGCAAAUACAUUUUCUUCCCCAUGAAAAAUGUGCUCCUGCACAAGAACUAUCAAGUACCAGACUCCGUGUUACCAUAAGCAGAUCCUUCUUGAGGGACCUUUGGUAUCAGAUUUGGACUGGCAUCAAGGCCUUGUUAACUGGAGCUUUUCCAUUGGUCCUGAUGGCUUCUGAAUGAGGCCCCAUCAAAGGCACUGGCAUAAGUUCAAUCAGUCUCUGAUGAAUAACAAAGGCAUUCCCAAGCAGCUGCCACUGUUCACGUGCAUCUUGUCUGACUCAGGAGACCAGCCUAUGGAAAAGUAGAAAGGGGGUCCCAGACCUUUGUCCCUCUGUAUGAUCCCACCAGCAGCGGGAACACGCAACAGUCAUAGCAACACCCAGGACAGGAGCUAGGAAAAAUGCUUGCCAGAAUAAAAACAGCAAGAAAACAUUGGAAGAGGGCUGAUAUGUCCUCUUGGUGCACGUGGCAGGAAUCCAGCUGACAUGUGCAACAAUGCUCUGAAAAAACACCAUACACAAUAGCUU